rfam:Alligator sinensis unplaced genomic scaffold scaffold516_1, whole genome shotgun sequence
GCCUGGCUAGCUCAAUCAAUAGAGCAUGAGACUCUUAAUCUUAAGGUUGUGGAUUUGAGCCCCAUGCUGGGUG